UGCUUUGUUUUUAAAUUCAGUUGCUGAGUAGUUGACAGCAACUGAAAGACCCCCGAAGGGAGACCCUUGCUCAAAUCUCGGGAAUAGCGUGCACCCAGUGAGGCACCGAGACCG
rnacentral:pre_miRNA from 11 species